rnacentral:rRNA from 1 species
CCUACGGGAGGCAGCAGUGAGGAAUAUUGGUCAAUGGACGAGAGUCUGAACCAGCCAAGUAGCGUGAAGGAUGACUGCCCUAUGGGUUGUAAACUUCUUUUAUAUGGGAAUAAAAUGUUCCACGUGUGGGAUUUUGUAUGUACCAUAUGAAUAAGGAUCGGCUAACGCCGUGCCAGCAGCCGCGGUAAUACGGAGGAUCCGAGCGUUAUCCGGAUUUAUUGGGUUUAAAGGGAGCGUAGGUGGAUUGUUAAGUCAGUUGUGAAAGUUUGCGGCUCAACCGUAAAAUUGCAGUUGAAACUGGCAGUCUUGAGUACAGUAGAGGUGGGCGGAAUUCGUGGUGUAGCGGUGAAAUGCUUAGAUAUCACGAAGAACUCCGAUUGCGAAGGCAGUUCACUGGACUGCAACUGACACUGAGGCUCGAAAGUGUGGGUAUCAAACAGGAUUAGAUACCCGUGUAGUC